UACAGAGGCCCCAAGCGUUAUCCGGAAUCACUGGGCGUAAAGGGUGUGUAGGCGGUUGUGUUAGUCCUUCGUGGAAGCUUUCUGGCUUAACCAGAAAAACGCGGCGGAAACGGCACAACUUAGAGGUUGCGAGAGGUAUACGGAACUCAUAGUGUAGGGGUGAAAUCCGUUGAUAUUAUGGGGAACACCAAAUGCGAAGGCAGUAUACUGGCGCACACCUGACGCUGAGACACGAAAGCGUGGGAAUCGAACGGG
rnacentral:rRNA from 1 species